AUUGAACGCUUGCGGCAGGCCUAACACAUGCAAGUCGAGCGGAGCGGCGGACGGGUGAGUAAUGCCUAGGAAUCUGCCUGGUCGUGGGGGCUAACGUCCGGAAACGGGCGCUAAUACCGCAUACUAUCAGAUGAGCCUAGGUCGGAUUAGCUAGUUGGUGGGGUAAAGGCCUACCAGGGCGACGAUCCGUAACUGGUCUGGGAGGAUGAUCAGUCACACUGGAACUGAGACACGGUCCAGACUCCUACGGGAGGCAGGAGUGGGGAAUAUUGGACAAGGGGCGAAAGCCGGAUCCAGCCAUGCCGCGGGUGUGAAGAAGGCCUUCGGGUUGUAAAGCACUUUCAGCGGGGAGGCGUUACCCGCAGAAGAAGCACCGGCUAACUCCGUGCCAGCCGCCGCGGUAAUUC
rnacentral:rRNA from 1 species